rnacentral:rRNA from 1 species
GCUGAAACUCUAGCCCCACCCCCUCUCAUGAAACUAUAAUAUUUUAAUUAACCAAUUAAAACAUUCUAACAGUUUAGUAAAGGCGAUUGAAAAACUAACAGGAGCAACACACACAGUACCGCAAGGGAAAGAUGAAAUAAAAUGAAAUACCUUAAGCACAAAAAAGUAGGGAUUAACUCCCGUACCUUUUGCAUCAUGGUUUAACUAGUUCAAUCAAGCAAAAAGAUUUUAAGUUUGACCCCCCGAAACUAAGCGAGCUACUUCAAGGCAGCUUAAUGAGCUAACCCGUCUCUGUCGCAAAAGAGUGGGAAGACCUUCAAGUAGAGGUGAUAAACCUAACGAGCUUAGUGAUAGCUGGUUACUCAAGAAAAAGAUUUAGUCUAACCUAAAGUUAACUUAAUACUAAAAAUGAAAACUUAACUCUAGAGCUAUUCAAAUAAGGUACAGCCUAUUUGAAGCAGGACACAACCUCAACUAACGGGUAAACUACAGUCUGAUAUAAUAAAGUAGGCUUAAGAGCAGCCACCUUUUGAACAGCGUCAAAGCCUAAUUACUGCACCGCUAAAUUUCCUCAAUUCUCUCCAACCCUUUAUUUUUACUGAGUUAUUCUAUAAACUUAUAGAACUUUUUAUGUUAAAACUAGUAACAAGAAGAAGACCUUCUCCCUAAAUGCAAGUGUAAAUCAUAAAGGACACACCACUGAUAAUUAACAUCCCUGAAUAAGCAGUAGCAACUCAACAAGAAAACUCUACCAAUUUUUAUGUUAAUCUAACACAAGAGCAUUCCGAGAAAGAUUAAAAGAAAAAGAAGGAACUCGGCAAACACCAACCUCGCCUGUUUACCAAAAACAUCGCCUCUUGAAAUAAACAUAAGAGGUCCAGCCUGCCCAGUGACUCUGUUCAACGGCCGCGGUAUCCUAACCGUGCGAAGGUAGCGUAAUCACUUGUUCUUUAAAUGAGGACUAGUAUGAAUGGCACCACGAAGGUUGCACUGUCUCCUUUCUCUAAUCAGUGAAACUAAUCUCCCCGUGAAGAAGCGGGAAUUAAUCUAUAAGACGAGAAGACCCUAUGGAGCUUUAAACAAGAUAACAAUUGCUAACUUAUAUUUAAUUUCAGAAAACUAAAUUUCUACACCUUGGCAUUCUGAUUAUCAGUUUUAGGUUGGGGUGACCGCGGAGUAAAAAUUAACCUCCACAUUGAAACGGGAUAACCUUAAGCAAGAACCCACAACUUUAUGCAUCAGUAAACUGACAUUAAUUGACCCAAUAUUUUGAUCAACGAACCAAGUUACCCUAGGGAUAACAGCGCAAUCCGCUUCAAGAGCUCAUAUCGACAAGCGGGUUUACGACCUCGAUGUUGGAUCAGGGUAUCCUAGUGGUGCAGCCGCUACUUAAGGUUCGUUUGUUCAACGAUUAAAACCCUACGUGAUCUGAGUUCAGACCGGAGUAAUCCAGGUCAGUUUCUAUCUAUAAGGAGCUUUUUUUAGUACGAAAGGACCAAAAAAGCAUGGCCCAUGUCUCCGGCAAACCAUCUCUACUAAUUUAUGUCUUAAACUUAAUUUUUAUUUAGUCCUUACCCCCGCUCAAGAAAAGAGCA